rfam:Pediococcus acidilactici DSM 20284 genomic scaffold SCAFFOLD1, whole genome shotgun sequence.
AAUGGAGUAGGAAUCGGUGCGUUAAGUGUCGUCGAGACGGAGAGUUGUUCGACGAACGAAUGCCUAGCAGCGAUAUCGGUUCCGCAUCUCGCCGUU